rnacentral:rRNA from 1 species
AGAGCGAACGCUGGCGGCAGGCCUAACACAUGCAAGUCGAGCGCGUGUAGCAAUACACGAGCGGCAGACGGGAGAGUAACACGUGGGAACGCGCCCUUCGGUUCGGAAUAACUCAGGGAAACUUGAGCUAAUACCGGAUACGCCCUUACGGGGAAAGAUUUAUUGCCGAAAGAACGGCCCGCGUCCGAUUAGCUAGUUGGUGAGGUAACGGCUCACCAAGGCGACGAUCGGUAGCUGGUCUGAGAGGAUGACCAGCCUCACUGGGACUGAGACACGGCCCAGACUCCUACGGGAGGCAGCAGUGGGGAAUAUGGACAAUGGGCGCAAGCCUGAUCCAGCCAUGCCGCGUGGAUGAUGAAGGCCUUAGGGUUGUAAAGUCCUUUUAACGGGGAAGAUAAUGACGGUACCGUAGAAUAAGCCCGGCUAACUUCGUGCCAGCAGCCGC